GACUCUCGGCAAUAGAUAUCUCGAAUCUCGCAUCGAUGACGAACGUAGCAAAAUGCGAUACCUUGUGUGAAUUGUAGAAUCCCGUGAAUCAUCGAGUAUUUGAACCUAAGUUGCAUCCAAAGCCAUUAGGCCGAGGGCACAUCAGCCUGGGCGUCA